ensembl:lncRNA
AGCAGGUGUGUAAUGAGCUGCAGCUGAACCUAAUCAGUGUGAGAUGCAGAAAACCUGCUGGUGAGUCAGAGGCUGAUCUUUUUGUGCCUUUGUGGAGACGGAGUGCUAGAGUCUACAGAAAUACAGCCUUUUGCCUUAGGAAGUCUGAGCUUGUGUUGGGUUUUUUUGGACCCAGUCAGGCUUAAACUCAUCAUCAGGAGUGGCUUUCCUGUUUGUUGCUUUCCUGGGCAAGUGACGUUGGAUUGUUGCAGUGAAUUUCUGCCUUAAGAUUGGCUUCAUCUCAAGAACAAGGGAAGAUGACCUCAAGAUUCUCAUGCUCAACACAAGGCUGAAAAACCAAAGCUGAAAAUACGUAAUUGGACCGGGGCAACUUUUGUAGCUGUAUCUGAG